AGGGUGUAAACGCUGCAGACUUGGUGUUGGAAGCCCUUUGGGGGCAUUCAGUGCCGGAGAGAAGUUGUUAAGUCUGCUACUUGGGGGAGUACGUCCGCAAGGAUAAAAACUUAAAGGAAUUGGCGGGGGAGCACCGCAACGGGAGGAGCGUGCGGUUUAAUUGGAUUCAACACCGUAAACUCACCAGGGAAGACUGUUACAUGAAGGCCGAGAUGAAGACUCUGCUAGAUUUUCAGAGAGGUGGUGCAUGGCGUCAGUGACU
rnacentral:rRNA from 1 species